rnacentral:lncRNA from 1 species
UGAGCAUGGAGAUUUGCAAUUGAAAUUAAAUUUAUAGGAUUAUUAUGGACUUGUAAUCAACUACUAAUGAAUUUUGAACAUGAAUUUGGUAUUAUCUUUUGGAUUUAUUCACUCUGAACCAAUAUUGAUUUAUUUACUUGAUGAAUAAUGGAAUCGAAUCUUUUAUUAUAACUUAUUUUUAAUGGAUUUUAGCUGAUUAUGAUUGAUUAGCUUCAUGUUAUCGUGGGUCCCAUCCCUCG